UCGAGAAUUUUUCACAAUGGGCGAAAGCCUGAUGGAGCGACGCCGCGUGGGGGAUGAAGGGCUUCGGCUCGUAAACCCCUGUCAUUCGAGAACAAACCACAAGAUCUAAUAAGUCUUGAGCUGAUAGUAUCGGAAGAGGAAGGGACGGCUAACUCUGUGCCAGCAGCCGCGGUAAUACAGAGGUCCCAAGCGUUGUUCGGAUUUACUGGGCGUAAAGGGUGCGUAGGCGGUGAGGGAAGUUUGAGGUGAA
rnacentral:rRNA from 1 species